UUGAACGCUGGCGGCAUGCUUUACACAUGCCAGUCGCACGGCAGCGCGGGCUUCGGCCUGGCGGCGAGUGGCGAACGGGUGAGUAAUACAUCGGAACGUGCCCAGUAGUGGGGGAUAGCUCGGCGAAAGCCGGAUUAAUACCGCAUACGACCCGAGGGUGAAAGCGGGGGAUCUUCGGACCUCGCGCUAUUGGAGCGGCCGAUGGCAGAUUAGCUAGUUGGUGGGGUAAAGGCCUACCAAGGCGACGAUCUGUAGCUGGUCUGAGAGGACGACCAGCCACACUGGGACUGAGACACGGCCCAGACUCCUACGGGAGGCAGCAGUGGGGAAUUUUGGACAAUGGGCGAAAGCCUGAUCCAGCAAUGCCGCGUGUGUGAUGAAGGCCUUCGGGUUGUAAAGCACUUUUGGCGGGAACGAAAAGGACUGUGCCAAUACCACGGUUCGAUGACGGUACCCGCAGAAUAAGCACCGGCUAACUACGUG
rnacentral:rRNA from 1 species